rnacentral:rRNA from 1 species
CCUACGGGAGGCAGCAGUGGGGGAUAUUGCACAAUGGGGGAAACCCUGAUGCAGCGACGCCGCGUGGGCGAAGAAGUAUUUCGGUAUGUAAAGCCCUAUCAGCAGGGAAGAAGAAAUGACGGUACCUGAGUAAGAAGCACCGGCUAAAUACGUGCCAGCAGCCGCGGUAAUACGUAUGGUGCAAGCGUUAUCCGGAUUUACUGGGUGUAAAGGGCGCGCAGGCGGCACGGCAAGCCUGAUGUGAAAGACCGCGGCCAAACCGCGGGACUGCAUUGGGAACUACCGGGCUGGAGUGCCGGAGAGGUAGGCGGAAGUCCUAGUGUAGCGGUGAAAGGCGUAGAUAUUAGGAGGAACACCAGUGGCGAAGGCGGCCUACUGGACGGUGACUGACGCUGAGGCUCGAAAGCGUGGGGAGCAAACAGGAUUAGAUACCCUGGUAGUC